UACGUAGGCGGAAAAUUAAGUCAGUAGUGAAAUCCUGCAGCUUAACUGUAGAACUGUUAUUGAUACUGGUUUUCUUGAAUAUAGUUGAAGUAGGCGGAAUGUGUAAUGUAGCGGUGAAAUGCUUAGAUAUUACACAGAACACCGAUUGCGAAGGCAGCUUACUAAGCUAUGAUUGACGCUGAGGUACGAACGCGUGGGGAGCGAACAGGAUUAGAUACCCUGGUAGUCC
rnacentral:rRNA from 1 species